ACUCUGGGCUCCAUCAUUACAGGGAAGCCACUGUGCUUCGUCUGCCCCAGCUGCCAGGCUGUAAUGGUUAUCUACCGCUGUGAAGUCGGAUGUCCACAGUUACUGGCUUUGUGCCACCUCGGUGUAUUGUUUGGUCAUGGUUCCGUUAUCUGGGUGGGGUCCUGCAGGACACUCCUCCAAUGUCCUUGUCUUUACCCAGAGCUUCCUCUGAGGCCGACUUCUAGCUAAGACACGGUGGCUUUACUUAGCAGUAUGUCACCACAUCUGGGACAGCUGACGCUAUUGUGACUGGCAGGUCUCCCCCAACCCCUAUCUGUUUCUCCACCUGGGCUCUCACACAUCAUCACAUAGCUAGCUAUUCAAGGGUCCUAAGAGGAGAAAAACAAAAGUAUCCUGCCUCUUAGAGCACCUUUCUAGAACAUCCACAAUGUCACACUGGCUAUAGCCUAUUAGUGACACUAAACAGGUACCAGCCUAACUCUAGGGAUACAGGAAAUCAAGUCCGCAUCUUCCUCUAAGGAAUGGCAGAGUUUCUGGCCUUUUCCAGUCUCCUCAAUUAGCCAUGACACUCCUGAGUCUUCACUGAAUGUCCCUUACUUCAGAAAAGCCAGGAAUCUGGGGCCUGUGCCAGCUGCCUCAACUCCGACAUAAGUUCUUCUCCUGUGUUUUUUCUUCAACUUCAUGAUUGUUUGUGGGCUCGGCUGCUCCCUGGUUUAACGACCACGUGACUUCUACUAGCAUAAAAGUCUGUGAUGUGCAGGAAAGAGUCAACUGGUGGGGCAGAGGGAGACUUCUCUCAAGGUUGCUGCUAUUCUUGCAAAAGCAACAUGCAAGCCUUGGCUGAUACCUGGGAAAACUGGGCCUGGGGGGGCGGGGCAGGGGAUCAGGGUCUAGAGAAACAGAUCCAGUAGGAUGAGCAUAUAUGCAGAAAGAUACAUAUCUAUAUCUUUUGAUCUAUCUAUCUACACACAUGUAUGUAUGUAUGUAUGUAUGUAUGUAUGUAUGUAUGUAUAUGACACCAACUAACAGGAUUGCAAAUCACCAACAGUGAUUCCGAAAUGUACAGAGUAGUUUGGUGAGCUUUAGACUCAGGAGAGAAGCCCCGCAGUUCCAGCCCUUGGGCUGGCAGGGUGAACUGACCUUACUUAAGUCCAGGAGCAGUCUUGCUCAGGGAGGUGGCCUGGGCUUGGUCUCUGGCUCACUGGGUAGGGCUCAUCUGUAUUAUUUCUAGCCACAAAAAAAAAAAAAAAAAAAAAAUCCACUGGUGUGAAAGUUUAUCUCUUUCUAACCCACUGGUGUGAAUGUUUAUCUCUUUCUAACUCACUGGUGUGAAUGUUUAUCUCUUUCUAACCCCCCUCUGAAUCAAUGAAAAGGAGCUUCGGCCUUGUGCCUAGCAUUUGCCACAACCGAGAAGAACGCCAUGGUGUGUCAACUGCAUAAGGAUUGGUUCAGACUGAACACCUGUGCUCAGAGUACCAAAAGGAAUAGAGAAAGGAGUCUCCAGGCUGGAAUCUCGGAAUGGGAAAAUGACCAGUAUCGCUUGAGAGCCGGAGACUUGCUGCAUUAGGCAAUGGAGAACAGCUGGAUGCUUGGGAAAAUAAGUCCUGUUUUCACUCGCAGUGGCUCUAUAAAUCCACACAGGCUAGGAAUGGAGAAAGAAGCGCCUUUGUUUUUCAAUAAAUGGUCAGGGCACUCAUACCCAAA
rnacentral:lncRNA from 1 species